UACGGAGGGUGCGUGCGUUAAUCGGAAUUACUGGGCGUAAAGCGCGCGUAGGCGGCUAAGUAAGCCGGGUGUGAAAGCCCCGUGCUCAACCUGGGAAUGGCAUCCGGAACUGUUUAGCUAGAGUGCAGAAGAGGAAGGUAGAAUUCCCGGUGUAGCGGUGAAAUGCGUAGAGAUCGGGAGGAAUACCAGUGGCUAAGGCGGCCUUAUGGUCUGACACUGACGCUGAGGCGCGAAAGCGUGGGGAGCAAACAGG
rnacentral:misc_RNA from 1 species